rnacentral:rRNA from 1 species
UACGUAGGGUGCGAGCGUUGUCCGGAAUUAUUGGGCGUAAAGGGCUCGUAGGCGGUUUGUCGCGUCGGGAGUGAAAACACCGGGCUUAACUCGGUGCUGGCUUUCGAUACGGGCAGACUAGAGGUAUGCAGGGGAGAACGGAAUUCCUGGUGUAGCGGUGAAAUGCGCAGAUAUCAGGAGGAACACCGGUGGCGAAGGCGGGUCUCUGGGCCGUAACUGACGCUGAGGCGCGAAAGCCAGGGGAGCAAACGGG